GGCUUAUCUGGGUUUGGAGAUGAUAGAUUUACUGUCUCCUUUGCCCGGGGCUAGGGGAGACCCAGCAUUCAAGGCGCGCCAUGAGGGGGCUUCACCUGGAUGGAGACCAGCUCUCCCCAUGUCCUGGUGCCCUGCCCAGCAGUGCAACGGAACUGGGGACAGAGCUACAGGACAAUACCAGCACUUCAGGAACCAUGACAAGAGGACCCCCACCAGGACCCAGAUGAUGCCAUCCAGCUUCAGCACCUACAAAAGUGCCAAGAAGCCCUUCUGCAAAGGCUAAAGGAUGGUAAAAGAAAAAGGCAACCAAUAUAAAACAUCUCAGAGGUGCUCCAGGGUGCAGAUAAAAGCAUCAGCCAGUUUUAUGAAAGACUUUGUAAGGCAUUUUGGUUGUACACUCCAUUUAACCCUGAGGCUGCUGAAAAUCAGUGCAUGGUGAAUACGGCAUUUCUAAGGCAGACCCAAGGAGAUAUCAGGCAUAAAUUGCAGAAGUUAGAAGCUCUGUAGGCAUGAAUGCUACUCAGCUUAUUAAAGUGGCUACCAAGGUGUACAUUAACCAAUAUCAGGAGGCAAAGAAGAAAGCUGAUCAGCAGCUUAAGAAAGGCUAAUUUACUAGCAGCAGCCCUUGUGGGAAGAGAAGCUGGCUUUGCAAAGAGGCAUGGAUGCAGGCGCGAACACAGUCAUAGAAAAGCCUAGUCUGGACAAGAGUUUGAAAGCUGGCCGAGGCUAGAGAGAGAUUUAUGUGCACGGUGCAAAAGGAAAGGACACUAGAAGGAUAAACGUCAAAAGAAUAAGGAGAAU
rnacentral:lncRNA from 1 species